CGGGUGAGUAACGCGUGGAUAACCUGCCUCACACUGGGGGAUAACAGUUAGAAAUGACUGCUAAUACCGCAUGAGCGCACAGUACCGCAUGGUACGGUGUGAAAAACUCCGGUGGUGUGAGAUGGAUCCGCGUCUGAUUAGCCAGUUGGCGGGGUAACGGCCCACCAAAGCGACGAUCAGUAGCCGACCUGAGAGGGUGACCGGCCACAUUGGGACUGAGACACGGCCCAA
rnacentral:rRNA from 1 species